GGGGAUGUAGCUCAGUGGUAGAGCACUUGCUUAGCAUGCACAAAACCCUGGAUUCCUGGAUUCCAUCCCCA
rnacentral:tRNA from 1 species